rnacentral:rRNA from 1 species
GGUAUGACUGGUUUUACUGAUUCCUCCCUCUUGAAGAACUGUAAUGCCAUUAAUCUGGUGUUGCAGGGAAUCAGGACUGUUACUUUGAAAAAAUUAGAGUGUUUAAAGCAGGCUUUAGCUUGAAUACAUUAGCAUGGAAUAAUGAAAUAGGACGUUUGAUCCUAUUUUGUUGGUUUCUAGGAUUGACGUAAUGAUUAAUAGGGAUAGUUGGGGGCAUUAGUAUUCAAUUGUCAGAGGUGAAAUUCUUGGAUUUAUUGAAGACUAACUACUGCGAAAGCAUUUGCCAAGGAUGUUUUCAUUAAUCAAGAACGAAAGUUAGGGGAUCGAAGACGAUCAGAUACCGUCGUAGUCUUAACCAUAAACUAUGCCGACUAGGGAUCGGAUGAUGUUAAUUUUUUAAUGACUCAUUCGGCGCCUUACG